AAGGCUUUAAGUUAAUUAAACUCGUAGCCUUCAAAGUUAUCAAUAAAGAAAAUUCUUUAGGCCUUA
rnacentral:tRNA from 1 species